rnacentral:rRNA from 1 species
UUAAGCGACUAAGCGUACACGGUGGAUGCCCUGGCAGUCAGAGGCGAUGAAGGACGUGCUAAUCUGCGAAAAGCGUCGGUAAGGUGAUAUGAACCGUUAUAGCCGGCGAUGUCCGAAUGGGGAAACCCAGUGCAAUUCGUUGCACUAUCGUUAACUGAAUACAUAGGUUAACGAGGCGAACCGGGGGAACUGAAACAUCUAAGUACCCCGAGGAAAAGAAAUCAACCGAGAUUCCCCCAGUAGCGGCGAGCGAACGGGGAGCAGCCCAGAGUCUGAAUCAGCUUGUGUGUUAGUGGAACGGUCUGGAAAGUCCGACGGUACAGGGUGAUAGUCCCGUACACCAAAAUGCACAGGNUGUGAACUCGAAGAGUAGGGCGGGACACGUGGUAUCCUGUCUGAAUAUGGGGGGACCAUCCUCCAAGGCUAAAUACUCCUGACUGACCGAUAGUGAACCAGUACCGUGAGGGAAAGGCGAAAAGAACCCCGGCGAGGGGAGUGAAAAAGAACCUGAAACCGUGUACGUACAAGCAGUGGGAGCACCUUCGGGUGUGACUGCGUACCUUUUGUAUAAUGGGUCAGCGACUUAUAUUCUGUAGCAAGGUUAACCGUAUAGGGGAGCCGCAGGGAAACCGAGUCUUAACUGGGCGUUAAGUUGCAGGGUAUAGACCCGAAACCCGGUGAUCUAGCCAUGGGCAGGUUGAAGGUUGGGUAACACUAACUGGAGGACCGAACCGACUAAUGUUGAAAAAUUAGCGGAUGACUUGUGGCUGGGGGUGAAAGGCCAAUCAAACCGGGAGAUAGCUGGUUCUCCCCGAAAGCUAUUUAGGUAGCGCCUCGUGAAUUCAUCUUCGGGGGUAGAGCACUGUUUCGGCUAGGGGGUCAUCCCGACUUACCAACCCGAUGCAAACUACGAAUACCGAAGAAUGUUAUCACGGGAGACACACGGCGGGUGCUAACGUCCGUCGUGAAGAGGGAAACAACCCAGACCGCCAGCUAAGGUCCCAAAGUCAUGGUUAAGUGGGAAACGAUGUGGGAAGGCACAGACAGCCAGGAUGUUGGCUUAGAAGCAGCCAUCAUUUAAAGAAAGCGUAAUAGCUCACUGGUCGAGUCGGCCUGCGCGGAAGAUGUAACGGGGCUAAACCAUGCACCGAAGCUGCGGCAGCGACACUAUGUGUUGUUGGGUAGGGGAGCGUUCUGUAAGCCUGCGAAGGUGACCUGUGAGGGUUGCUGGAGGUAUCAGAAGUGCGAAUGCUGACAUAAGUAACGAUAAAGCGGGUGAAAAGCCCGCUCGCCGGAAGACCAAGGGUUCCUGUCCAACGUUAAUCGGGGCAGGGUGAGUCGACCCCUAAGGCGAGGCCGAAAGGCGUAGUCGAUGGGAAACAGGUUAAUAUUCCUGUACUUGGUGUUACUGCGAAGGGGGGACGGAGAAGGCUAUGUUAGCCGGGCGACGGUUGUCCCGGUUUAAGCAUGUAGGCUGGUUGUCCAGGCAAAUCCGGAUAAUCAAGGCUGAGGUGUGAUGACGAGGCACUACGGUGCUGAAGUAACAAAUGCCCUGCUUCCAGGAAAAGCCUCUAAGCAUCAGGUAACAUCAAAUCGUACCCCAAACCGACACAGGUGGUCAGGUAGAGAAUACCAAGGCGCUUGAGAGAACUCGGGUGAAGGAACUAGGCAAAAUGGUGCCGUAACUUCGGGAGAAGGCACGCUGGUGUGUAGGUGAAGNUGGAGCUGAGACCAGUCGAAGAUACCAGCUGGCUGCAACUGUUUAUUAAAAACACAGCACUGUGCAAACACGAAAGUGGACGUAUACGGUGUGACGCCUGCCCGGUGCCGGAAGGUUAAUUGAUGGGGUUAUCCGUAAGGAGAAGCUCUUGAUCGAAGCCCCGGUAAACGGCGGCCGUAACUAUAACGGUCCUAAGGUAGCGAAAUUCCUUGUCGGGUAAGUUCCGACCUGCACGAAUGGCGUAAUGAUGGCCAGGCUGUCUCCACCCGAGACUCAGUGAAAUUGAACUCGCUGUGAAGAUGCAGUGUACCCGCGGCAAGACGGAAAGACCCCGUGAACCUUUACUAUAGCUUGACACUGAACAUUGAGCCUUGAUGUGUAGGAUAGGUGGGAGGCUUUGAAGCGUGGACGCCAGUCUGCGUGGAGCCAACCUUGAAAUACCACCCUUUAAUGUUUGAUGUUCUAACGUUGGCCCCUGACCGGGGUUGCGGACAGUGUCUGGUGGGUAGUUUGACUGGGGCGGUCUCCUCCCAAAGCGUAACGGAGGAGCACGAAGGUUAGCUAAUCCUGGUCGGACAUCAGGAGGUUAGUGCAAUGGCAUAAGCUAGCUUGACUGCGAGCGUGACGGCGCGAGCAGGUGCGAAAGCAGGUCAUAGUGAUCCGGUGGUUCUGAAUGGAAGGGCCAUCGCUCAACGGAUAAAAGGUACUCCGGGGAUAACAGGCUGAUACCGCCCAAGAGUUCAUAUCGACGGCGGUGUUUGGCACCUCGAUGUCGGCUCAUCACAUCCUGGGGCUGAAGUAGGUCCCAAGGGUAUGGCUGUUCGCCAUUUAAAGUGGUACGCGAGCUGGGUUUAGAACGUCGUGAGACAGUUCGGUCCCUAUCUGCCGUGGGCGCUGGAGAAUUGAGGGGGGCUGCUCCUAGUACGAGAGGACCGGAGUGGACGCAUCACUGGUGUUCGGGUUGUCAUGCCAAUGGCACUGCCCGGUAGCUAAAUGCGGAAGAGAUAAGUGCUGAAAGCAUCUAAGCACGAAACUUGCCCCGAGAUGAGUUCUCCCUGAGACUUUAAGUCUCCUGAAGGAACGUUAAAGACGAUGACGUUGAUAGGCCGGGUGUGUAAGCGCAGCGAUGCGUUGAGCUAACCGGUACUAAUGAACCGUGAGGCUUAACCUU